UACGUAGGGUGCGAGCGUUGUCCGGAAUUAUUGGGCGUAAAGAGCUCGUAGGCGGUUCGGUAAGUCGGGUGUGAAAACUCUGGGCUCAACCCAGAGAGGCCACCCGAUACUGCUGUGACUAGAGUGCGGUAGGGGAGCGGGGAAUUCCUGGUGUAGCGGUGAAAUGCGCAGAUAUCAGGAGGAACACCGGUGGCGAAGGCGGGUCUCUGGGCCACUACUGACGCUGAGGAGCGAAAGCGUGGGGAGCAAACAGG
rnacentral:rRNA from 1 species